AGUGAACGCUGGCGGUAGGCCUAACACAUGCAAGUCGAACGGCAGCACAGUAAGAGCUUGCUCUUACGGGUGGCGAGUGGCGGACGGGUGAGGAAUACAUCGGAAUCUACUUUUUCGUGGGGGAUAACGUAGGGAAACUUGCGCUAAUACCGCAUACGACCUACGGGUGAAAGCAGGGGAUCUUCGGACCUUGCGCGAUUGAAUGAGCCGAUGUCGGAUUAGCUAGUUGGCGGGGUAAAGGCCCACCAAGGCGACGAUCCGUAGCUGGUCUGAGAGGAUGAUCAGCCACACUGGAACUGAGACACGGUCCAGACUCCUACGGGAGGCAGCAGUGGGGAAUAUUGGACAAUGGGCGAGAGCCUGAUCCAGCCAUACCGCGUGGGUGAAGAAGGCCUUCGGGUUGUAAAGCCCUUUUGUUGGGAAAGAAAAGCAGCAGGUUAAUACCCCGCUGUUCUGACGGUACCCAAAGAAUAAGCACCGGCUAACUUCGUG
rnacentral:rRNA from 1 species